rnacentral:tRNA from 1 species
GGGAAUGUAGCAUAGUGGUAGAGUGCUUGCCUAGCAUGCAUGAAGCCCUAGGUUCAAUUCCUCAGUACCA